rnacentral:lncRNA from 1 species
GCCUCUGCGGCAGUUUCCUGAUCUUCUGGAUAUGCUGCCACGCUGUCCCAGGGCUGGUGGUGUCCCCUGACUUGUUCCUCUCCUGACUUUCUCAGCCUGGAGACUGAAAGCUCUCUUUGGCUGUUGGCCCUCCCAGGCAGAGUCCACUGGCUGUUAGGGUGAAAUGGGGCUGAUGCUUCCUGGAAUCCACCAGAAGUAUGCAAAUUGCACCAUCUCUUUCAGCUGCCUGCGCCUGCAUUCCAUCGAGGAUUCCGGCUCGUCCCCCAGUGGCAACAACUAGAGAGGAGGUGAGGAUCCCCGGCGCUGCCAUCUGAUAGGCUGUCUCCCUAGCUCCUCUUGCACUGGCAAUCCUUUCAUCACACAGGCCUUGUUUUGAAGGGACCUAUUCCACCCACAGUCGUUUCUCACCUCUAGGAGGCCAAAAAGCUGUAGUCAUUGCUGUGGUAUCAGGAACUCGAGUUCCUCUCAGAGGUGUUGUGAAGAGCUUCCCUUCCAACAGUACAUGGCCUAAAUACCAGGGAGGAAGUUUCUGACUUUUUCCAUCUUCAGUAAAACAGAACCUCUGUUGUGGAUGCAGUGGCUUUGCAAGGAGAGUGGCAUUGUCUCUUGGUGAAUGUAGUUGUUCAAGUCAUGGGGAGGAGGCAGGUUUAGUUUUGAUGCAUAUAUUUUCACUAUUAGUUCUCAAUAGUGAAAAUCUUAAUUCACAGAUGAGCCAAGAUAGAAGGGCAUCUUCCCAACAUAAAUGAGACACAAAGACAAUGUGGGUAAAAGUGAAAUCAGCUUUAUUGUGAAACUGUAAUCAAAGAAGAACUGGCUAUUGGUGCUACCACCUGGAUUCAAGAAGAUGGACAAAGUGACCUCAGAAUCAACCCACAAGUACUUACUGACCACCCACAGUUUGUCAGGUACUCUCUAUCCUAAGUCUGUUUCCUCUAGAGCUGUGCUGUUACUCUAGAGCAGGGACCAGCAAACUAUGGCUCUUGGGCCAAAUCUAGCCACCUGCUUCAGUCAAUAAAGUUUUAUUAGAAUGUA